GUAUUAUGUGAAACUAGUUCCUCUGAGAAAAAUGGAAGAGACCCUACUUGCCUUUACAUUACAUAUAUGAUGGAAGCAUUGCCAUCUUUUUUAUGGCAUCUAACUAUGUUUUAU
ensembl:snRNA